rnacentral:rRNA from 1 species
CUAAGCAUAUCAAUAAGCGGAGGAAAAGAAACCAACAGGGAUUGCCCCAGUAACGGCGAGUGAAGCGGCAACAGCUCAAAUUUGAAAUCUGGCCCCAGGCCCGAGUUGUAAUUUGUAGAGGAUGUUUCUGACGAGGUACCUUCCGAGUUCCCUGGAACGGGACGCCAUAGAGGGUGAGAGCCCCGUACGGUUGGUCGCCAAGUCUCUGUGAAACUCCUUCGACGAGUCGAGUAGUUUGGGAAUGCUGCUCAAAAUGGGAGGUAUACGUCUUCUAAAGCUAAAUAUAGGCCAGAGACCGAUAGCGCACAAGUAGAGUGAUCGAAAGAUGAAAAGCACUUUGAAAAGAGGGUUAAAUAGUACGUGAAAUUGUUGAAAGGGAAGCGCACAUGACCAGACUUGGCCAGGUUAAUCAUCCAUCGUUCUCGGUGGUGCACUUUGCCUGGCCAGGCCAGCAUCAGUUCGUCUUGGGGGAUAAAGGCUUUGGGAAUGUGGCUCCUCCGGGAGUGUUAUAGCCCAUUGCGUAAUACCCUGAGGUGGACUGAGGUUCGCGCAUCUGCAAGGAUGCUGGCGUAAUGGUCAUCUGCGACCCGUCUUGAAACACGGACCAAGGAGUCGUCUUCGUAUGCGAGUGUUCGGGUGUCAAACCCCUACGCGUAAUGAAAGUGAACGUAGGAGAGAGCUUCGGCGCAUCUCCGACCGAUCCUGAUGUUCUCGGAUGGAUUUGAGUAAGAGCAUACGGGGCCGGACCCGAAAGAAGGUGAACUAUGCCUGUAUAGGGUGAAGCCAGAGGAAACUCUGGUGGAGGCUCGCAGCGGUUCUGACGUGCAAAUCGAUCGUCAAAUAUGGGCAUGGGGGGCGAAAGACUAAUCGAACCUUCUAGUAGCUGGUUUCCGCCGA